rfam:Schistosoma rodhaini strain Burundi genome assembly, scaffold: SROB_scaffold0000462
AUCCAGCUGACGAGUCCCAGACAGGACGAAAUGCGCACCCUGGAU